GUGUUUUCUUGUGUCCAUUCCAUAUCUUUACUGAAUUCAAUUAACAGAGUAUCCUACAGCUCUGAACUAGGUGAACAACAAAACGUUACUCUGUCACGACCAGACAUGCACUUGCUUAAAUGUAACGUGACCUCGAAACACUCCUUUGAUGCGACGCUCAAAAAAUGACAACGGAUGGAACGCAGUUCUGUUGCGAUGUUACGGUUUUACGGUCUGCCGUCCAUACUGAACGCGACGAAGGUACUCGACGGAGUUACAUUACAAUAUUUUGUUACAUGUGUGGACUCACCUUAAUGUACAGUCGUUUUACACAGUCAACCAGAGCAUCUCAACGUUCCUUCGCAAAGAGAGCUACAACCUUUCUUUACGAGCCUGAAUCUCAAUAUAACGACGUCCGUUGACUCAGAAACGCUUAACGAAGAUCCUUCAAAAUCGUCAUCGGAGAUC
rnacentral:lncRNA from 1 species